rnacentral:misc_RNA from 1 species
AAACUUACAAACAUAAUAAUCAAAAACCUGUUAUCAGAAUCAGAUUUUCCAUAUCACUGAAUCUGGUCGCGUUGACGUAUUGCUGAGCUAUGGACGUCCUUCCAGUUGAAGUAUUGGAAAAAAUAUUGUGCUUCAGUAAUCUUGAUUACCACGAUAUUGUUAACAUAUCUCUUACGUCAACAAGGCUGUGUAAUAUAUCCAACAGUAAUGAAGUGUGGAGAGCUUUAUUUAGAAGACGUUACCCCCUGCUCUACAAUAAAAUUAUCAACCACACUCAAGCUGGAGAUUUGAACUGGAAAUCACAUUUUGAAAACAGAUUCAAACUAGGAUUAAUCCUGGACAAAGAGAUUCUAGACAUGUCACCAAAGUUCUAUAAUCUUGCUGAACUCUCCUCGUUGGACUUCAAGUCUUUUGACAAUCUACUACUCGAGCACAACCCUGAGACAAGUUUCCAUCAUCUCUAUACACUAGAUCAUCUCAAUUUAUCUCUUCAAGAAAACAAACCUUGGGAAAACCUAACAUACAAGUUCUACUGCAGAAAAGCAUUAAUACACAUACAACAUCGUAUUCUCACUCCAAAGGUUAACAAUUUUUUCUCUCGAUGCUGUACUCAAGAUACUCUUAGAAUGUUUAAUAUCAGUGAAGUGAACGAAGAGGAAUUAAAGGAUUAUGAGACAGCACUGAUAUUAAUUGCACAAUGGUGUCAACCUGAUCAAUGUGUAGAUGAGCAUACAGUUCUCUCUGAGCUUGAUGAUCUGGCUCAACGUGUAUUUAAUAAACUGGUCGCUGAUCAGACAAUUGAUCCUUCGAAGAUUAGAACUCCUGCGGAACUCAAGAAAAUGGAGAAAAGUACAAGUUUAUGUCGAAGUAUUCUCGAUUGUGCAAAUCAGCAACUGAAGAAUGAAGGAUUCGCCGGGAACUCUGAAAACUAUUAUGUUCCUGAGAACUCAUUUAUCAACAAGGUUCUGGAGACAAAGUUGGGUAUUCCAAUUUCCCUGAGUCUGAUGUACACUUCUGUCCUGGCUAGACUAGGGAUUCUGUGUGAACCUGUUAACUUCCCUCGACACUUCCUGUUAAGGUGGUUGGAGCACCCGGAACUAGCUGAUAAAGGUGCUCAGUUUACUUACAUUGAUGUGUUCCAUGCUGGAAAGCGGAUGAAUAAGCAGCAGGUGUUAAAUACGCUUGGACAUGACUAUAUUUUCGAUCAAGAUACAUUAAGAAUCGCUACUCCACUUCAAGCAGCACAUAGACUGAUCAAGAAUCUUAUUUCAAUCGGCGCCUCUGAAAACAAUUUAAAGGAUUCUAGUUUCUCUCUUUUGAUGUCUGCCUUGAAACUGAUGGUUUUACUGAACACGGAGCAGGUUCCAGAUUUCGUCUUCAUGCUCAGCAGAGUUUACCUGCAGCUUAAUAUCAAUCAUGAGGAGACUACUACACUGCUCAGCAGAUUUUCAGGAGAUCAAUAUCUUUCCGAGCAGGUUCGAUACCUGCUCACUACUUGUCAGAUGCAGAAAGUUGAGAAGGAUUUAGAAACUAACGAUAUUAUUCCUAAGAAGAGGGAUCCAGAAGGUAACAAUAUCAGGUACAAAGUGGGAAAUGUAAUGAAGCAUAAGAAGUAUGAUUACAAGUGCGUUAUCUAUGGCUGGGACGAUCACUGCUCAGCUUCGACGAUAUGCUGCUGAUGAGAACCUUGAACCCUGCACUCCUACACCAAUUCAUCAUCCACAUAUUGGAAAAUAUUUUAAGGAGUUUUGCCCAGAGAGAGGUUACAUCCCGAAUACAGAGAAAAUGAAAGAAUACCCAGACGACUUUUCCUAGAAGUUCUUACGGAAGAAC